UGGCGGCGUGCUUAACACAUGCAAGUCGAACGAUGAAGCCUUUCGGGGUGGAUUAGUGGCGAACGGGUGAGUAACACGUGGGCAAUCUGCCCUUCACUCUGGGACAAGCCCUGGAAACGGGGUCUAAUACCGGAUAAUACUUCUGCCUGCAUGGGUGGGGGUUGAAAGCUCCGGCGGUGAAGGAUGAGCCCGCGGCCUAUCAGCUUGUUGGUGGGGUAAUGGCCUACCAAGGCGACGACGGGUAGCCGGCCUGAGAGGGCGACCGGCCACACUGGGACUGAGACACGGCCCAGACUCCUACGGGAGGCAGCAGUGGGGAAUAUUGCACAAUGGGCGAAAGCCUGAUGCAGCGACGCCGCGUGAGGGAUGACGGCCUUCGGGUUGUAAACCUCUUUCAGCAGGGAAGAAGCGCAAGUGACGGUACCUGCAGAAGAAGCGCCGGCUAACUACGUGCCAGCAGCCGCGGUAAUACGUAGGGCGCAAGCGUUGUCCGGAAUUAUUGGGCGUAAAGAGCUCGUAGGCGGCUUGUCACGUCGGAUGUGAAAGCCCGGGGCUUAACCCCGGGUCUGCAUUCGAUACGGGCUAGCUAGAGUGUGGUAGGGGAGAUCGGAAUUCCUGGUGUAGCGGUGAAAUGCGCAGAUAUCAGGAGGAACACCGGUGGCGAAGGCGGAUCUCUGGGCCAUUACUGACGCUGAGGAGCGAAAGCGUGGGGAGCGAACAGGAUUAGAUACCCUGGUAGUCCACGCCGUAAACGUUGGGAACUAGGUGUUGGCGACAUUCCACGUCGUCGGUGCCGCAGCUAACGCAUUAAGUUCCCCGCCU
rnacentral:rRNA from 1 species